rnacentral:ncRNA from 1 species
AUCUUCAGGGCAGGGUGAAAGUCCCUACCGGUGGUACAGCCCACGAGCCGCAAGGCAUGAUUCGGUGAAACUCCGAAGCCGACAGUAUAGUCUGGAUGAAAGAAGAUG